GACGAACGCUGGCGGCGUGCUUAACACAUGCAAGUCGAACGGUAAGGCCCUUCGGGGUACACGAGUGGCGAACGGGUGCGUAACACGUGGGUGAUCUGCCCUGCACUUCGGGAUAAGCCUGGGAAACUGGGUCUAAUACCGGAUAGGACCACUGCCUGCAUGGGUGGUGGUGGAAAGCUUUUGCGGUGUGGGUUGGGUCCGCGGCCUAUCAGCUUGUUGGUGGGGUGAUGGCGUACCCAGGCGACGACGGGUAGCCGGCCUGAGAGGGUGACCGGCCACACUGGGACUGAGAUACGGCCCGGACUCCUACGGGAGGCAGCAGUGGGGAAUAUUGCACAAUGGGCGCAAGCCUGAUGCAGCAACGCCGCGUGAGGGAUGACGGCCUUCGGGUUGUAAACCUCUUUCAGCACCGACGAAGCGCAAGUGACGGUAGGUGCAGAAGAAGGACCGGCCAACUACGUGCCAGCAGCCGCAGUAA
rnacentral:rRNA from 1 species